GCUCGCUCGGGUUUGUUUGCACAGUUCACCGUUCGUCCAGCAUCACGACAAAUACGAAAAUAAGCAAACGUGAGUUCAGAAUCGAAGCAAACUAGUAAAAGACUCUGAGGGCUUUAGAGCACCAGAAGACCUUCGUGGGGAGGGGACCGGUCGCUAUGGCAACAGCCAGUGAUGCAAUCAGCACAGCAGAGCAGCUUGCCUCAUCGGGUUGGGAGCGGAAACUUUCCGUCAUGAACACAGGUGGUUUGCACAGGUCUCCGGGAAAAGCGACGCGUUGCUGUGAGAUGACGUUUUGGUGUCGUAAUGACGGGCGACAGCUGUGGAGAUGAGCGCUGUGUGACCGUUUGGGAAAUGUCACGGCGGAUGCGCAUCAUGCGCAGACGCCUGCACUGCGUGUGAGUGGGAUGCGGCUGCACCUGCACUCACAUGCGCUUCGCAGCCUCGGCCGCAGCCGCGUGCGUGAUCCUGACCUGCAGUGAAUCCUAUUCAUUAUUAUACCAGAUGUUGCCUUCUACUGUAGCUGAUGGAAGCGAUGUUUAGCACAGACAGCUAACAGCUAACGGCAGCUUCACAACGAUGUGAGUUCUACGUUUCCCAUAAUUCUACCAACAGAACCUUUUCAUUAGCCUUAAAUGACGAGGGAUUUCCUAAACAACCUGAAGUAACUCUCACCUCACCGCUGGUUGCCUUUGCUCUGUAUUUUACUGUAACCGUGGGAAACGUUUCAAAGACUAAAAUGACUCAUUAAAGCUUCUGUAGAAUUACAAUCCCUAACCCCGGCUGUAAAAGCAGAGCCCGAACCAAUUUACAGUAAAUGCAGCAGUUUCCUCAAGUUACAAGACUGCAUGCAGGCACACAGCGCCACACACACACACACACUGUUUGCCUUCAGUGACACUAACCCCUAAUUAUAGAGUUACACAGUGAACUGAGGUGCAUGAGACUCCAGCGGAAAAAAACAGGCUCUCAAGAAAAUAUACAGCCACACUCCAGGCGGCCUGAUUGCUUAUUAUCGGAAGCCUCUGACACUUUUCGCAGAACAUUGGAUGUUUAUGCUCAUCGCGUUGUGUGAAUAUGGAAACCGAGCCGUUCACACGGCGUGCGUACGUAAAAGCCGUUCAAGGACCAAAUUACAGCCGCAAACAAACCGGAGCGCGUGCAUUCACGGGAUGCUCACAGUCAAGAAACGCACAACCGCCGUUAAACCGUCCUCGGCUCUUUGCCGUAGUCCUCGUUCUGCACCUCUCUCUCUUUCUUUGUCGGUCGUUAUGGAAAUGAACCGGCAGACGCAUGUGCACAGUUGUCAGAUAUAACACAGACGGGCUCUGUUUGUUUUUCUCGCUCUGCCGAGGUGUAACUUUAAAAUGGAGAGGAGCAUUACAGUAUGUGAGAGUAAGUUGUAGUUGUAGCGGUGGCAAACUGAAUAUGACACGCGGCGCCCGACUCCAGGUAAAAAUCCUCAGCCUCCUCUACGCUCACUUCAUAUAGUAAAGGAAGCGACUGAGCACAAACAUUAAAAUAAUACAGAUUUACAGUCAUUUGUCUUUGUUUCUUCCGCUCUGCCCUCUGCAUCACUUGCUGCUAUCAUAAAUCUUAUUAGAGCUCAGUAAG